rnacentral:rRNA from 1 species
AAUGAACGCUGGCGGCAGGCUUAACACAUGCAAGUCGAGCGGGGGAAGGUAGCUUGCUACCGGACCUAGCGGCGGACGGGUGAGUAAUGCUUAGGAAUCUGCCUAUUAGUGGGGACAACAUCUCGAAAGGGAUGCUAAUACCGCAUACGUCCUACGGGAGAAAGCAGGGGAUCUUCGGACCUUGCGCUAAUAGAUGAGCCUAAGUCGGAUUAGCUAGUUGGUGGGGUAAAGGCCUACCAAGGCGACGAUCUGUAGCGGGUCUGAGAGGAUGAUCCGCCACACUGGGACUGAGACACGGCCCAGACUCCUACGGGAGGCAACAGUGGGGAAUAUUGGACAAUGGGGGGAACCCUGAUCCAGCCAUGCCGCGUGUGUGAAGAAGGCCUUAUGGUUGUAAAGCACUUUAAGCGAGGAGGAGGCUACUUUAGUUAAUACCUAGAGAUAGUGGACGUUACUCGCAGAAUAAGCACCGGCUAACUCUGUGCCAGCCGCCGCAGUAA